UACGUAGGGUGCGAGCGUUAAUCGGAAUUACUGGGCGUAAAGCGUGCGCAGGCGGUUAUGUAAGACAGUUGUGAAAUCCCCGGGCUCAACCUGGGAAUGGCAUUGGUGACUGCACGGCUAGAGUGUGUCAGAGGGGGGUAGAAUUCCACGUGUAGCAGUGAAAAUGCGUAGAGAUGUGGAGGAAUACCGAUGGCGAAGGCAGCCCCCUGGGAUAACACUGACGCUCAUGCACGAAAGCGUGGGGAGCAAACAGG
rnacentral:rRNA from 1 species